CCCGCCACGCCCAGAGGAGCGCGGAUCUCCUCCAAUCCCUGCCCCCAGAGACACAGCGCGGCCCAGCGGACCGCCUGAGUAGCGCUGUAAUCGUGAUAGAGCUUCUUCACGAACUGCGGAUGGCGCCACUUCUUGCGGCCGAAGCCGGAUUUCUUGCAAGCCGGCACACCGGACACUAUGACAGGGGUUAGCCAUGGGUGCAGCCCAGACUCCAGGGCUCAGCACGCCCCACCCUUCCCACCUCCUCUCUCCCUCCUCUCCGAGCCACGCCCUCCGAGCCACGCCCCCUUGGGCAUGCGUGGUACUGCUGGGACGCACACGUUGAGGUAGCUCCUUGUGGGGGUUGGGCUUAACGACUCGCGAGGACUGGCCGUUGGUUAGGGUUCGUGGAACCCGCAUGGAAACUUCUAAGCCGGUAUUUGAAACGUAAACUCACCGGCUACGAUGGAAAUACCGGUACCUGGAAACCUAACCUUUUCAAAGCCACCUUUCCCGCGGUCACUUCUGUGCGUCGGGGCUACCACAAUCGUCCCCAUGGACCCUACAUGGUGUGGCUGCCCAGAGUGCCUCUUGUACCCCUGGGCUGGCUGAACGGACCGUAUCUCAUCAGUCCUCUUAGGGGGACUGCCCUUUGCGGUGUUGGGAAAAGGAGAAACAGGACGGUGGACAGGCCCAAUGCUUCAUGGUACAGUUGGGAAAGUUAGGCAGGCAGUUAGGAGGCAAAGAAAGCAAAAUAUCCAUGGAACGACUUCCUGGAGCAUCAAUCCUACUGCCGGUUCUGGAAGAAAUGAAGUUAAGUAAUUUCCAAGCAGUAUCUCCCCUCCCUGACAAACACGGAGGAAGAGACAGAAGAACAGGAGGGAAAAAGUGCCCCAGGACAACAGUCUGGUCUUUGAAGAUUCAUCCAGGUUGGGACAAAGGGCCAGCCACUCCUCUUAUCUCCCCGGUGGCUCCCAGCCAUCCUUUGAGCUCACCAGCCUUUUGGAUUCAUUGCCUUUGAAUGCUGUGGAAGCGCAGGUUGUGCCAGACCAACCUCACUUUGUCAAAGCCGCCCUGGCUGAAGGUCUGGAGGAGCCGGUAAUUGUCAAUGCGGGUCUCCUGGUCGCCCGGAUGGCUGUGAGGUCCCUCUGCUCAGUGACUUACUGCUAGCAAUACUAACUAGAGACGCCCUCUAACAGUACUAACAUACCACAUCAAAAUGAGGAAAAAAAAAAGAACCAAAAGAGAAAGAGAACAAAGGGGAAAAUCUAACUGUGGUCAAAAGUCCCUCAGCUCACCAAACACUGGCUCCCUGACCUAAAAAAACUAAAAAACAUAAGCCUGGCCAAGAGCUUAUACAGGAGGUACUUAGGAUUCUCUCUCGAUGGCUUUUCUUGAAGUCAAGAAAUGGACCUAUUAAAACUAGGGAUAAUUCACAAUGGUUCUCUCAUUUGGGUCUCAGGAACCCUUUCCUCUUUAUUAAGGGGGAGGGGAACACCCCCAAAGGCCUCUUUGUUUAUGUGGCUUAUAGUGAUUGGUAUUUACCAUACUAAAAAUUAAAACCCAUAGGAUGCUUUGGUGGCCUUUUCACGUCUAGUUUGGAAAUCUGCCAUGAUUUUUGGUGUUUAAAGAAAGCCAUGAUGUCCAUACUUAAAAGAAUUCGUUUUUUUUUUCUUGAAACUCUGGCUGAUCAGUGUCAAAAUAAUACCACAAUUUAACUGGUUUCACAAAAGCUAUGGGCAAAGACUCUCCUUAAUUAAACUUCAGUCAUUCUCCUCUAGACCUGAACCCUGUAGUCUGUCUUUGGCUAUCCUAUACCACCCAACUGUAGCAAGAAUCUUGCCAAAUCUUGAAGUCAAGAGACUCCCUGCCCUCAAUAUCUGAUAAUUCUUCAUCUCUCCCCUUUGGUAUCUGUGAGAAAAUAGAACGCAUAUAUUGGUUUCUGGCCUCACCUCCCCACUGCCCCCAGUUCUGGGCACAGGCUGCUGAAACCCUUACAAUUUCCAAGCAUUCAGAGCGUUAGGAGCAUCUCUUGUUCAGUAUUUCGUCUUCAACCCCAGGUCCUGACACAGGGCUCCUAAAUCCCUUGGAAUUUCCUGGGUGGUAGGAAUGUCUUGUUCUUGGUAGGAAUGUCUUGUUCUAAUGAGGCAACUCUGGGUGGGCUCCUGGAUGACUCCUGGAUAGAGACUGUCAUCAGAAAGUCCAAGCCAUGAUUAGAUCUUGGGACGUGCAGCUCCACACCACUACCCCUUCACCCCCCCAGUCCUCAAGGGAGGGGAAAGGGGCCAGAAAUGGAGCUAUUGAUCUACAUGAGGAAGCGUCCAUAAAAAUCCCAAUAGUAUGGGUUCAGAGAGUUUCCACGUGGAUGAACACAUCCACAUUGGCAGGGUGAUGCACCCCAGCUCCUGUGCUCAGGACCCUCCCAGACCUCACCCAGUGCAUCUCUUCCUCUAACUAUUUACGUAUCCUUUAUCGCAUCCUUUAAUAAAAUGGUGCUCUGUGAGCCACUCGAGCAAAUGAAUUGAACCUAAGGAAGGGGUUGUUGGAACUUCCCCCUUCCCCUCUAGAGCUGACCAGUCAGAAGCACAGGUGAUAACCUGAACUUGGCGUCUGAAGUUGAGGGGGGAGUGGCCAGGGAAGCUGCUGUGUGGGACUGAACCCUUAACCUGUUGAACCUGAUGCUGUCUCUGGACAGACGAUGUCAGACUUGAGUUGAACUGUAGGACACCCCAGCUGGUGUCAUGGAGGAUUGCUUCAUGCAGGGGGGAAAAAACACGCAUUUGGUGACCAGAAGUGAAGUGUUUCGUGUGAGUAGUAAGGGAGACUCGCAGGAGAAAGGCUCACGGAUUAAAGGACUGUGGGUUUUCCCUGGUGCAGCAUCUGACCGCCCUAACCUGCCUUUGGCAAGAAUCCUAUCAGGUCUGUUUAACUAGCAUCUUUCUCUUCCUGAGGUUUCCUCUUAGCAAUUUUCCAUCCCCUCACCCUGACCCUAUUUGUUGGCUCUAAAUCCCCAUUUCAUGCUGUCCUGGAGAUGGGGCCCAGUUCUACACUGAGGCCUCUUUUUCCCCUAUUGCAAUAUUCAGUUUCUGGAAUAAAACCUGCUUUUACUGCUUUAA